rnacentral:ncRNA from 1 species
CGGAGAGGACGACCUCCCCCUUUCGGGAUGACAAGCCGGGACGACCCGG